AUUGAACGCUGGCGGCGUGCUUAACACAUGCAAGUCGAUUGGUAACAGGUGUAGCAAUACAUGCUGACGAGAGGCGGACGGGUGAGUAAUGCUUGGGAAUCUGCCUAUUAGUGGGGGACAACCCGGGGAAACUCGGGCUAAUACCGCAUACGCUCUACGGAGGAAAGCCGGGGACCGCAAGGCCUGGCGCUAAUAGAUGAGCCCAAGUCGGAUUAGCUAGUUGGAGGGUAACGGCCUACCAAGGCGACAAUCCGUAGCUGGUCUGAGAGGACGACCAGCCACACCGGAACUGAGACACGGUCCGGACUCCUACGGGAGGCAGCAGUGGGGAAUAUUGGACAAUGGGGGCAACCCUGAUCCAGCGACGCCGCGUGGGUGAAGAAGGCCUGCGGGUUGUAAAGCCCUUCGGUGGGGAAGAAAAGUCUCGACCUAAUACGUCGGGACCUUGACGUAACCCACUAAAGAAGCACCGGCUAACUCUGUGCCAGCCGCCGCGGUAA
rnacentral:rRNA from 1 species